rnacentral:rRNA from 1 species
GGGUUGUGAGGUUAAGCGACUAAGCGUACACGGUGGAUGCCCUGGCAGUCAGAGGCGAUGAAGGACGUGCUAAUCUGCGAUAAGCGUCGGUAAGGUGAUAUGAACCGUUAUAACCGGCGAUUUCCGAAUGGGGAAACCCAGUGUGUUUCGACACACUAUCAUUAACUGAAUCCAUAGGUUAAUGAGGCGAACCGGGGGAACUGAAACAUCUAAGUACCCCGAGGAAAAGAAAUCAACCGAGAUUCCCCCAGUAGCGGCGAGCGAACGGGGAGCAGCCCAGAGCCUGAAUCAGUGUGUGUGUUAGUGGAAGCGUCUGGAAAGGCGCGCGAUACAGGGUGACAGCCCCGUACACAAAAAUGCACAUAUUGUGAGCUCGAUGAGUAGGGCGGGACACGUGGUAUCCUGUCUGAAUAUGGGGGGACCAUCCUCCAAGGCUAAAUACUCCUGACUGACCGAUAGUGAACCAGUACCGUGAGGGAAAGGCGAAAAGAACCCCGGCGAGGGGAGUGAAAAAGAACCUGAAACCGUGUACGUACAAGCAGUGGGAGCACGCUUCGGCGUGUGACUGCGUACCUUUUGUAUAAUGGGUCAGCGACUUAUAUUCUGUAGCAAGGUUAACCGAAUAGGGGAGCCGAAGGGAAACCGAGUCUUAACUGGGCGUUAAGUUGCAGGGUAUAGACCCGAAACCCGGUGAUCUAGCCAUGGGCAGGUUGAAGGUUGGGUAACACUAACUGGAGGACCGAACCGACUAAUGUUGAAAAAUUAGCGGAUGACUUGUGGCUGGGGGUGAAAGGCCAAUCAAACCGGGAGAUAGCUGGUUCUCCCCGAAAGCUAUUUAGGUAGCGCCUCGUGAAUUCAUCUCCGGGGGUAGAGCACUGUUUCGGCAAGGGGGUCAUCCCGACUUACCAACCCGAUGCAAACUGCGAAUACCGGAGAAUGUUAUCACGGGAGACACACGGCGGGUGCUAACGUCCGUCGUGAAGAGGGAAAUAACCCAGACCGCCAGCUAAGGUCCCAAAGUCAUGGUUAAGUGGGAAACGAUGUGGGAAGGCCCAGACAGCCAGGAUGUUGGCUUAGAAGCAGCCAUCAUUUAAAGAAAGCGUAAUAGCUCACUGGUCGAGUCGGCCUGCGCGGAAGAUGUAACGGGGCUAAACCAUGCACCGAAGCUGCGGCAGCGACGCUGAUGCGUUGUUGGGUAGGGGAGCGUUCUGUAAGCCUGCGAAGGUGUGCUGUGAGGCAUGCUGGAGGUAUCAGAAGUGCGAAUGCUGACAUAAGUAACGAUAAAGCGGGUGAAAAGCCCGCUCGCCGGAAGACCAAGGGUUCCUGUCCAACGUUAAUCGGGGCAGGGUGAGUCGACCCCUAAGGCGAGGCCGAAAGGCGUAGUCGAUGGGAAACAGGUUAAUAUUCCUGUACUUGGUGUUACUGCGAAGGGGGGACGGAGAAGGCUAUGUUGGCCGGGCGACGGUUGUCCCGGUUUAAGCGUGUAGGCUGGUUUUCCAGGCAAAUCCGGAAAAUCAAGGCUGAGGCGUGAUGACGAGGCACUACGGUGCUGAAGCAACAAAUGCCCUGCUUCCAGGAAAAGCCUCUAAGCAUCAGGUAACAUCAAAUCGUACCCCAAACCGACACAGGUGGUCAGGUAGAGAAUACCAAGGCGCUUGAGAGAACUCGGGUGAAGGAACUAGGCAAAAUGGUGCCGUAACUUCGGGAGAAGGCACGCUGAUAUGUAGGUGAAGUCCCUCGCGGAUGGAGCUGAAAUCAGUCGAAGAUACCAGCUGGCUGCAACUGUUUAUUAAAAACACAGCACUGUGCAAACACGAAAGUGGACGUAUACGGUGUGACGCCUGCCCGGUGCCGGAAGGUUAAUUGAUGGGGUCAGCGCAAGCGAAGCUCUUGAUCGAAGCCCCGGUAAACGGCGGCCGUAACUAUAACGGUCCUAAGGUAGCGAAAUUCCUUGUCGGGUAAGUUCCGACCUGCACGAAUGGCGUAAUGAUGGCCAGGCUGUCUCCACCCGAGACUCAGUGAAAUUGAACUCGCUGUGAAGAUGCAGUGUACCCGCGGCAAGACGGAAAGACCCCGUGAACCUUUACUAUAGCUUGACACUGAACAUUGAGCCUUGAUGUGUAGGAUAGGUGGGAGGCUUGGAAGUGUGGACGCCAGUCUGCAUGGAGCCGACCUUGAAAUACCACCCUUUAAUGUUUGAUGUUCUAACGUUGACCCGUAAUCCGGGUUGCGGACAGUGUCUGGUGGGUAGUUUGACUGGGGCGGUCUCCUCCUAAAGAGUAACGGAGGAGCACGAAGGUUGGCUAAUCCUGGUCGGACAUCAGGAGGUUAGUGCAAUGGCAUAAGCCAGCUUGACUGCGAGCGUGACGGCGCGAGCAGGUGCGAAAGCAGGUCAUAGUGAUCCGGUGGUUCUGAAUGGAAGGGCCAUCGCUCAACGGAUAAAAGGUACUCCGGGGAUAACAGGCUGAUACCGCCCAAGAGUUCAUAUCGACGGCGGUGUUUGGCACCUCGAUGUCGGCUCAUCACAUCCUGGGGCUGAAGUAGGUCCCAAGGGUAUGGCUGUUCGCCAUUUAAAGUGGUACGCGAGCUGGGUUUAGAACGUCGUGAGACAGUUCGGUCCCUAUCUGCCGUGGGCGCUGGAGAACUGAGGGGGGCUGCUCCUAGUACGAGAGGACCGGAGUGGACGCAUCACUGGUGUUCGGGUUGUCAUGCCAAUGGCACUGCCCGGUAGCUAAAUGCGGAAGAGAUAAGUGCUGAAAGCAUCUAAGCACGAAACUUGCCCCGAGAUGAGUUCUCCCUGACCCUUUAAGGGUCCUGAAGGAACGUUGAAGACGACGACGUUGAUAGGCCGGGUGUGUAAGCGCAGCGAUGCGUUGAGCUAACCGGUACUAAUGAACCGUGAGGCUUAACCUUACAACGCCGAAGCUGUU